rnacentral:lncRNA from 1 species
ACCUAUCCAAGAAGGCCUCAACAAACUAAUAGCAAGUCAUCCCUAGAGAACCAAUUGGUCUGCAACAAAUAAGUGAUCUUCACUAAUACAUGGCCUCAUCUCUCAAUUGAUAAGUAGUGUAAGCAACCCCAACGACACGAGCGAACCAAGGUUACACAACUUUUCAUGAUAAUCAAUUAAGAAGUCAUAAACAUCCUCGCCUAGAACCACUGAACCUAGUAGGACCUAUAUGAGU